UUUUAGUGAUAUAGCUGAUGCAAUGCAUCUUUGCAGACAGGCUUUACUUAAAAUUGUUUUCUGAAGCAUUUUUUCACUUCCUUUAUUAGCUAAUUCCUCAUAGUGACUAUUAAAAGUUCCAUAGUCUCUUUCAAUGAGGACCUUGAAGAAUAGUCAUUUGGAAUUCCAUACUGAGAAAGUUCCACCCAGCAAGUAGAAAGAGCAAAGAUGCGAGGCAACAUGAUGUCCACAUGUACACACCAACAGUCCCCCCACCUCCAUUUUAAUUUCUGCCUCUUUAUGAUGCUAGUGUGGACCACAAUAACAUUUUCCAUAACAUAUUUGGAGCCAGGCCCACAUGCAGAAAAGUGAAAGACAAAGCUCACUGAAUUUAUGAAAUUGUGCAUUAUAGUGAGAGUGAAGGAAACUUCAGAAAACACCAAGUGCUUAUCUAAAAAUAAACUGUUCCUAUAUGGGGUAACAUGCAGACAAACACAGGACAAGGUUGGGCCCAGCCUUGUACAGGUCUUGCAAGGGAGAGAAGGUGCAUAGUGGCUCCUCACCACCAAGUGUACAGGAACAACAAAGAAUGCCAGGACUUUGCAAACUCGGCACCUGCAGCACAAAUAGCUUUUCCAAAAAGGACUUGCACAUAGCAGACUGACCAGUGGGAGGCAGCACACAAUAUGCUGUACUAGAACUGUGUGGCAGAGAGGCUAUGCUCCAGGAAGCAAGUGUGCCUACUUCAUGUACAGAGUUCUUGGAGCACCUGCUGAGGUGAGAGCCUCCUCAACAUUGCACACCCUGUAGGAACUGCAGCAUCUCAGGAACUGCGACUAUAGUGCCAGUGGCUUUUGAAAACUGUACAUUAUUGCUCAGUAUAACAAUCUACAGGUUGACAUAGUUUUAUGGUUUCAUGCUUUAGAGGAGGGUGCCGGUAAGAAAUAAAAAUACCAAAACUAAAAAAUUGGAGAGUUAUCCACUCUGGUAAUAGCUAUACACUUGGAUCUUGUAUCCACAGUUUGAUUGUACGUCAGUUUUGAUUUGUCUGUUUCUUUAAAGGAAGGAUACUGAUCUUGAUGAAUAGCUAACAGGUGCAGUGGCAAACAGUAGCAGUGAUAAAUGGAAACAGUAGUGAUGGCCAUGCUUAAGUGUCUUAGGGUGCGUGCCUAAAGAAGAAAUGAACAGACGACAUGUAUCGUCCUAAUUUUUAGCUAUGGGUGAAUUUAGAGACUGUCCGGUUUGGCCAAUGUACAUGGCAGAGGGACAUUGCUGGCACAUGAUGGCA